rnacentral:rRNA from 1 species
GAUGAACGCUGGCGGCGUGCCUAAUACAUGCAAGUCGAGCGAACGGACGAGAAGCUUGCUUCUCUGAUGUUAGCGGCGGACGGGUGAGUAACACGUGGAUAACCUACCUAUAAGACUGGGAUAACUUCGGGAAACCGGAGCUAAUACCGGAUAAUAUUUUGAACCGCAUGGUUCAAAAGUGAAAGACGGUCUUGCUGUCACUUAUAGAUGGAUCCGCGCUGCAUUAGCUAGUUGGUAAGGUAACGGCUUACCAAGGCAACGAUGCAUAGCCGACCUGAGAGGGUGAUCGGCCACACUGGAACUGAGACACGGUCCAGACUCCUACGGGAGGCAGCAGUAGGGAAUCUUCCGCAAUGGGCGAAAGCCUGACGGAGCAACGCCGCGUGAGUGAUGAAGGUCUUCGGAUCGUAAAACUCUGUUAUUAGGGAAGAACAUAUGUGUAAGUAACUGUGCACAUCUUGACGGUACCUAAUCAGAAAGCCACGGCUAACUACGUGCCAGCAGCCGCGGUAAUACGUAGGUGGCAAGCGUUAUCCGGAAUUAUUGGGCGUAAAGCGCGCGUAGGCGGUUUUUUAAGUCUGAUGUGAAAGCCCACGGCUCAACCGUGGAGGGUCAUUGGAAACUGGAAAACUUGAGUGCAGAAGAGGAAAGUGGAAUUCCAUGUGUAGCGGUGAAAUGCGCAGAGAUAUGGAGGAACACCAGUGGCGAAGGCGACUUUCUGGUCUGUAACUGACGCUGAUGUGCGAAAGCGUGGGGAUCAAACAGGAUUAGAUACCCUGGUAGUCCACGCCGUAAACGAUGAGUGCUAAGUGUUAGGGGGUUUCCGCCCCUUAGUGCUGCAGCUAACGCAUUAAGCACUCCGCCUGGGGAGUACGACCGCAAGGUUGAAACUCAAAGGAAUUGACGGGGACCCGCACAAGCGGUGGAGCAUGUGGUUUAAUUCGAAGCAGCGCGAAGAACCUUACCAAAUCUUGACAUCCUUUGACAACUCUAGAGAUAGAGCUUUCCCCUUCGGGGGACAAAGUGACAGGUGGUGCAUGGUUGUCGUCAGCUCGUGUCGUGAGAUGUUGGGUUAAGUCCCGCAACGAGCGCAACCCUUAAGCUUAGUUGCCAUCAUUAAGUUGGGCACUCUAAGUUGACUGCCGGUGACAAACCGGAGGAAGGUGGGGAUGACGUCAAAUCAUCAUGCCCCUUAUGAUUUGGGCUACACACGUGCUACAAUGGACAAUACAAAGGGCAGCGAAACCGCGAGGUCAAGCAAAUCCCAUAAAGUUGUUCUCAGUUCGGAUUGUAGUCUGCAACUCGACUACAUGAAGCUGGAAUCGCUAGUAAUCGUAGAUCAGCAUGCUACGGUGAAUACGUUCCCGGGUCU